GAUGAACGCUAGCGGGAGGCCUAAUACAUGCAAGUCGAGCGGUAGAGUGACUUCGGUUGCUUGAGAGCGGCGAACGGGUGAGUAACGCGUACACAAUCUACCUUUAAGAGGGGAAUAGCCCUGGGAAACUGGGAUUAAUGCCCCAUGGCAUCACGAGACGGCAUCGUUUUGUGAUUAAAGCUGAGGUGCUUAGAGAUGAGUGUGCGUCUGAUUAGCUAGUUGGUGCGGUAACGGCGCACCAAGGCGACGAUCAGUAGGGGGCGUGAGAGCGUGGACCCCCACACGGGUACUGAGACACGGACCCGACUCCUACGGGAGGCAGCAGUAAGGAAUAUUGGACAAUGGGCGAAAGCCUGAUCCAGCAAUGCCGCGUGAGUGAUGAAGGCCUUAGGGUUGUAAAGCUCUUUUACCAGGGAUGAUAAUGACAGUACCUGGAGAAUAAGCUCCGGCUAACUCCGUGCCAGCAGCCGCGGUAAUGUCUAG
rnacentral:rRNA from 1 species